AUUGUUAUCAUUAUGUUUGUCUGGAAAUCAGCAGAAUGGGGGUGUUGAUUUCCAGCGGGUGGGUUUUCCUUUGUCCCUUUUUUUUUUUUUUUUUUUUGUUCUAACCCAGAUUUUCAUGUUUAACAGGCCCACAGCUGAUCCAUCCCCCAGUACACAAUUGAGACAGAGGAGGUUAAAGCACUCUGAACGCAUGGGACCAUAUUGCAGGUCAGAGAAGAAAGCGAGAAUGAAGUUCUGUUUAAAGAAGGUGAUAACAAACGUCCAAGCCAAAAAGAAAAAGGAUUUUGAAUGGAGUGGUGAUUCUUUAUGCAGAGCUGAGACGCGACACCUUCCAGACGGUAUUUGUGCCUGUGGCAGGGUCUUGGUCUUUUGUUCUCCUCCUGCUCCUCCUCUGCAUCACAAGACGACCCGCAUGCACACGAGCUUCAGACAGAUGCGCAGAGGCUGUAAUGAAGAGCUCUUGAACUCCCAGUCAGAGAAGCUGUGA
ensembl:lncRNA